UACAACUCGUUUCUUACGGGCCAAAUCUCCUGAGCAACAGGCAGCUGUGGACUUGGACACCUACUACUCAGAGGUGAUGGACUCACAAAAUCAAAAUCCCUUCUUCCUUGACAUUUUACAAGACAAUGAACAAGGUUUUGAGUCUUUUGACAGUAGUAAUUUGAUGUCCACUCCGCAUUCAGACAUCAAUGUCCAUCAAUCUCCACCUCAAGUUGAAAUGGGACAAUAAUACCCCCCAUUGCAAAAAAAUCAACUACUAAA